UGAAGCAUGAGUCCGUAUCCAAUAAUCAGAAGAUGAUGUCCAACUUAUGUUUUUCUAGGUACUUGCUUAACCACUAGGUGGCAGUGACGAUCAGGAGAGAAGUGCUGAAGCGCACAACUAGUAGUGAUUGCAAAUAGUCUGCAUUUAGUGCUUGAGCUCUUGAGUUGUAAUAGUGCUCUGCAGCAUUAGGACAUAGCCUUGGCGCUAUACGCCCUCUGAGCAUCAUUUCUACCAAAAGACGAUACUGCCUUCUCAAGAAAUUAUUGCAAGAGACCUGCACUAGAAGUACAUUGACAUUCAGGAGAGGUUUUGGAGCUGACGAGGACAACAUGAAUUGCUUCUGGAUACACACAAUUUGGAUCCCGGGGUUCUUUUUCUUCUUUGGAUUUCAAGGUCCUCAUGCUUGGGUACAUCUCUGAUGGCCUCAUGGCAGCAUCCCACUACUAACAGGAUUCAAACCCGCUACCUUGUGGUUCUGUCUUUUGGGUGUUCCUGAUGAUGACCAGUUAUCCAAAGACCCCUGUGUGCAGACUAGUUCUAAUUUGGUGAAUGAUUUCCAUUGUGACAUGACUAUUGAAGUAAUUUGGUUAAUUGUCUGAUUCUAAAAGGAGUUGUGUGUGCAGUUAUGGUGAGCUGUGAAAUCCAGCACAGUAGUCAAUAAACAACUCAAUGGGGCUUAAUUAGGAAAUGGCAUUGAAUGAAACCACAACCUCCGGG
rnacentral:lncRNA from 8 species